CGCCUGGCUGCUGCGGGAGGUGUAGAAGGCUGAGUGAUCGCUGCCGCGGUGGAGGGAUGUACGGACGGGCUAGGACUCGGUGGUUAAUCCGUGGCCUCUAGGGCCGCGAGUUUGAAUCCUGGUUGCAGCUUUUCCACUUACUAGCUGUGUGGCCAUGGGUAACGUGCCCAGCCUCGGUUUCUCCGUCUGCAAAAUGAGAACGACUUUUUAGUGUUGUUGUGGAGUCAACGAGAUGACGCAUGCAAGCAAGGGCGCAAUCGCUGUAGCCUUCAUUAUUUAUGAGAGAAAAGGAGCUGCUCAGUUCUAAGCUUUUGAAAUGGUGUGCCAAGAGUCUUGAGAAGACCCUUUUCUGGCAGCUUCCGGAAGCUUGACCUCUCCAGCUCAGCUGUAAAAGUCUUGAAAGCGGAAACCACAUUGUAACCAUCUGUAUCUCUUAUGGCACCUGACUCAGGCAGGGAUGCAGGGUCCGGGUAGGCCAUGGUUCCAAACUCCGAUACCACGAUCCUGUUUGCCUCAAUAUUGGCAUUAAGAUGUGUCUUCUUCGUGGUAUAAUAUGUGCUCCCAGUGUUGGUGUAAUGACGACGCACAGAAAAGCCGAGCCUGGGGCAUCCUGACAUUGCAUUCCAGGAAGAAAAGCCCGUCUCAGAAAUGCCCGUCAUAUAUCGACUGCCACAGGGUAGGGUUAGGGGAGACAACAGGUUUCCAAGGAAUUCUUGCCCAGUGCCUUUGAUGUUUUAGUAAACAGAAACUAGUACUAAGAGCCAGCACUGAUCGACUGCUGGCAUGCGAAACACCGCGUUGGACACUUCAUGUGUACCUUACAACACUGGAAGCAAGCAGAAUACUCCAACUAGAAAUGUGUUUGCUAGAAAAAAAAAAAACAGGCCAUGUGCAGUGCCUCAUGCCCGUAAUCCUAGCAUUUUGGGAGGCGGAGUUGGGUUGGUCACUUGAGGUCAGGAGUUCGAGACCAGCCUGGCCAACAUGGUGAAACCCCAUCUCUACCAAAAAUACAAAAAAAAAAUUACCUGGUGUGGCAUGCACCUGUGGUCCCAGCUACUUGAGAGGGUGAGGCAGGAGGUGAACCGAGGCAGGCGGUUCACCUGAGGUCGGGUUGUUUGAACCUGGGAGGGGGAGGUUGCAGUGAGCUGAGAUCGUGCCACUGCACUCCAGCCUCGGUGACAGAGCAAGACUCAGACUCAAAAAAAAAAAAAAAAAAAAAAAAAAAUCCACAUAAUGUCAUUUGCUAAUUAAUGGCAAAAUAAAGCAGAUCUAAAC